GCCUCCGUGGUGUAAUGGAUAACACAAUGGUCUUCGGAACCGUUGAUGUGGGUUCAAUUCCUGCCGGAGGCACAA
rnacentral:tRNA from 1 species